rnacentral:rRNA from 1 species
AACGAACGCUGGCGGCAUGCCUAACACAUGCAAGUCGAACGAGACCUUCGGGUCUAGUGGCGCACGGGUGCUUACGGAGUGGGAACCUGCACUUAGGUUCGGAAUACCUCACCGAAGGGGAUGUUAAUACAGGUUAAUGUAUUCGGGCAAAAGAUUUAUCGCCUUAGGAUGGGCCCGCGUAGGUUUCGCCAGUUGGUAGGGUAAAAGCCUACCAAGGCGACGUUCCAUGGCUGGUCUGUGAGGAGGGUUUGUAAGACUGGGACUGAGACACGGCCCAGACUCCUACGGGAGGCAGCAGAGGGGAAUAUUGGAGGAGGGGCGAUGGCCUGAUACAGCAAUGCCGCGGGUGUCAUGAAGGCCGUAGGGUUGUAAUUCUCUUUUUCCCGGGAUGAGAAUGACAGUACCGGGUGAAUAAGCUCCGGCUAACUACGUG